rnacentral:rRNA from 1 species
UACGUAGGGUGCAAGCGUUUGUCCGGAAUUAUUGGGCGUAAAGAGCUCGUAGGCGGUUUGUCGCGUCUGCUGUGGAAAUCCAGGGCUUAACCCUGGACCUGCAGUGGGUACGGGCAGACUAGAGUGCGGUAGGGAGAUCGGAAUUCCUGGUGUAGCGGUGAAAUGCGCAGAUAUCAGGAGGAACACCGGUGGCGAAGGCGGGACUCUGGGCCGAUACUGACGCUGAGGAGCGAAAGCGUGGGAGCGAACAGG